GCCUCUGUAGCUCAGUGGACAGAGCGCCGGUCUUCUAAACCGUUGGUCGCAGGUUCGAGUCCUGCCAGGGGCG
rnacentral:tRNA from 1 species